UACGUAGGGUGCGAGCGUUAAUCGGAAUUACUGGGCGUAAAGCGUGCGCAGGCGGUUGUGCAAGACAGAUGUGAAAUCCCCGGGCUUAACCUGGGAACUGCAUUUGUGACUGCACGGCUAGAGUGUGUCAGAGGGGGGGUAGAAUUCCACGUGUAGCAGUGAAAUGCGUAGAGAUGUGGAGGAAUACCGAUGGCGAAGGCAGCCCCCCUGGGAUAACACUGACGCUCAUGCACGAAAGCGUGGGGAGCAAACAGG
rnacentral:rRNA from 1 species